rnacentral:rRNA from 1 species
UGCUCUUAUGAAGUUAGCGGCGGACGGGUGAGUAACACGUGGGUAACCUGCCCAUAAGACUGGGAUAACUCCGGGAAACCGGGGCUAAUACCGGAUAACAUUUUGCACCACAUGGUGCGAAAUUGAAAGGCGGCUUCGGCUGUCACUUAUGGAUGGACCCGCGUCGCAUUAGCUAGUUGGUGAGGUAACGGCUCACCAAGGCAACGAUGCGUAGCCGACCUGAGAGGGUGAUCGGCCACACUGGGACUGAGACACGGCCCAGACUCCUACGGGAGGCAGCAGUAGGGAAUCUUCCGCAAUGGACGAAAGUCUGACGGAGCAACGCCGCGUGAGUGAUGAAGGCUUUCGGGUCGUAAAACUCUGUUGUUAGGGAAGAACAAGUGCUAGUUGAAUAAGCUGGCACCUUGACGGUACCUAACCAGAAAGCCACGGCUAACUACGUGCCAGCAGCCGCGGUAAUACGUAGGUGGCAAGCGUUAUCCGGAAUUAUUGGGCGUAAAGCGCGCGCAGGUGGUUUCUUAAGUCUGAUGUGAAAGCCCACGGCUCAACCGUGGAGGGUCAUUGGAAACUGGGAGACUUGAGUGCAGAAGAGGAAAGUGGAAUUCCAUGUGUAGCGGUGAAAUGCGUAGAGAUAUGGAGGAACACCAGUGGCGAAGGCGA